UUAUGCUGAUCCAGGACAGAUACAUUUCAGUCCUUGACCAGUGACAGUUAUAAGGCUAAUAUUUCUAGCUCUGACCCAUCAGAGUUAGAAAUACCUACCUGAGGGAGCUGUGAAUCCUGGCUUUCUAAUGAUGUAAAGCAGUUGUUGCUGCCCCAAGAUAUUGGAUUUGAAAAUCGCAACAUUCUAAUGCAUGGAGAAGUUAUUUUAAAGCAGCUGCAUAAAGGUUUUUCAAAUCUAGUCAGUUUUGCUGUGACUGCAAAGCUUGUGUAUGAGAAAUACAAGGUGGCACAGAGACCUGAACACCUGACAUUCAGCUGAACCGAAGCAUGCUCAUUGCUCACAAAUCUGCAAGCAAAGCAGGUUUCCUGGUGUUUGAGUUAUAGCAAAACUUGAAACAAAUUGUUGAAGAGGGAGCUCCAGUAUUCUUCUGACUGUCUGGUAGGGCUCAGCUAUCCAUCACGAGCUCUAUCAGAUACGUUUGUCAGCUUCAACAACUCCCCUGUGUGAGUGCGACUACCAGUUUUUUGCUGUUUUAACAGGGAAUGGCUGCUAGUGUUAAUUUUUUAGUUUAUCUGAGUUCUUGUUUAUGUUUAUUUUGU